UCUCAUUUCUCUCUCUCUCUCCUCCAAGUUCUCUUUCAUCUUGUUCAAGAAAAAACCCUAAAAUCACAAAAUGGUGUCAUAGUAGAAUGGAAAUUGGAUGCGAGAUCUAGAACAAAUAUGGGUUUGCAAAGAGAGAGUGAGCAAAUGUUAGAAAGAGGGAGAAAAUCGGUGGCAUUUGGCUCUGGUUUUGAAUUUUGAAACAGGAUUUUGGCUCCACAAAACCUAGACACGGCUUUUCAUUACACCGCCCAUUCUCUCUCUACAGCAACAACCGUUUUUCAUCCCCAGUCGUUCUUCACCAGCCAUCCACCGCUGACAGGUAUGAAAAUAUUCCUUUAUAUUGAACUCUUGAGUCCCCAAUUAGUCAUUCUUGUUCUGUUCUGGUUUAGAUCUACAAUUUUCACUUUGACGGUAUCAUUACUCUUGUUCAGUGUUGGUUCAGAUCUAGGGUUUUCUCAUUCGAAAUGGUUCUUAGAUCUAGAUGCUUACGGGCGAUUCACCGUACGGUUCUGAAUCCCUAACCUUGGUUUGCUCAUCUUUGUUAUUGUUUAUGGAUAUGGUGGUGGUUCUUGCGUCUCAACAAAUGAUGUUCUUCCCCUAUGGUCAUCAAGGACUUUCUUCCAUUGGUUGGUGAGGAUUUGAGUUCCAGUACUUUUGCCCUGAUUCCCAAUACACCCAUAUUGUCUUCUUUUUCAUUUUGCAGAGAGAGAGAGAGAGAGAGAGAGAGAGAGAGAGAGAGAGAGUGAGUGAGUGAGUGAAAUAGAGAUUCUCUCAAUUUGUACGACGACCAUGGAAACAUCAACCGCCGACGCGACCAAUAGCCACUAUCUUCCUUUGAUUUUCUUGUGUUUGCUGUCAUUUGAUUGAUGGUCAUCUUCGGUUAGUGUUCAUCUGGAACCAGUGGAACUACAUCUGGGGUUGGUCGAUUUCUCAAGAAUGAAGGUGAAGAUGGACUAUGAAGUCUAUGAAAGGAGGGUCAAGAAGGUUGUGUGUUCUUUAGCAGAUUUUGAAUCUUGCACACAGCAAAUCAGACAUUCAUGCCUUCAUUGACAAAUUUGCAGACAACGGGUUAAGGUCACUUGCUAUAGCAUACUACCAGAUAAGAAGUUCUAGAGAGACCCCUGGAGGACUAUGGCAGUUUGUUGGGCUAAUGUCUCUGUCAUCCGCCACGUCAUGAUAGUGCUGACACGAUUCAAAGGGGGUUUGAAUCUUGGGUAAAAGUUAAAAUGAUUAUAUGCCACUGGAUGUCGAUUUAGCAAAGAGGUGUCUGUUUUGAGAAGUGAAAGAUCUGGUUGAUGAUUGUGGUAGGGAGACCCAUGAGUUCUGGUAUAAUCAUACGCCUUUUGCAGGAGUACAGUAUUGAAAAAGCAGCACCACCUAAGGCUGGUGGUGAGUAAUGAUUCAUGGACCUGUUUGUGUAUGCCAUUGAAGUUGCUACACAUUAAUUGUAGGAAAACUUUUGGACUAGAGGAGAUGUCGAUGAUGGUGACCAACUGGUACUGUUCAUCGUGGCUAUGCUUUAAGCGAUCAUCAAAAUUUGAAAAAAACCAUGUGAUUUAUGUUUCAACUGGUACAGUUCAUUGUGGCUAUGCUUUAACUAUUAUAUGAUGUUCAAUGACCGCAAUAGAAUUUGAUAUUUCAUUUGUGAAGCCAUUGGAUGUCGAAUUAUUGAAGAUCCACAGAGGCAGCAACGAGAGGAAGGAAGGUGCAUACCCCUUCUAACAAUAGCCUGCAUAGUCGCGAUCCGACCUCUUGGCAAACAAAAAGACGGGCCUUUGGCGGGACCCAGGGGUUCCAUCUAGGGGUACUCACAUGUAAUCAGCUUGAAUUAUGAUAUUUCAGUGAAAGUCUCAGUUCGAAAGCUAAAGAAGAAUGGUGGUACACUGGUAGUAUUAUUGGUGGAGCAAUCAAAGCAAUUCAAACGAAAAAAAUUGUACCAGUUCACAACUCUCUUAUAGAUUAAAAACCGCACGAAAGGAAAGAUUUGGAAUGGGAGGAGUGGUGUUCCUUUAAGAUUUGAAGUGUUUAAGUUGUAUGAUAGUUGAUGUAAGAAUGGGGUGUAAUAUUUGCAAGGGGGUUCUGUUCUAGCAGCUUGCUGGAAUAAGUGAUGUAUAUAAAUUUUUGUGAUAAAUGUUAUUUUUAGCCGUUC